ACACACGCAAAGGACCAAGUAAGUCACAAUGUUGGCGCUCUUACUUCUUGUGACUGUGGCCCUAGCAUCUGCUCACCAUUCUGGUGAGCACUUUGAAGGUGAGAAGGUUUUCCGUGUCAAUGUUGAAGAUGAAAAUCACAUCAGCUUACUCCACGAGUUGGCCAGCACCACCCAGAUUGACUUCUGGAAACCAGAUUCUGUCACACAGAUUAAACCUCACAGUACAGUUGACUUCCGUGUUAAAGCAGAAGAUAUUUUUACUGUGGAAGAUUUUCUGAAGCAACAUGAACUACAAUAUGAGGUAUUGAUAAGCAACCUGAGAUCUGUGUUAGAAGGCCAGUUUGACAGCCAGGUCCGUGCCACUGGACACAGUUAUGAGAAGUACAACAAAUGGGAAACGAUAGAGGCUUGGACUCAACAAGUCGCCACUGAGAAUCCAGGCCUCAUCUCUCGCAGAGCCAUCGGAACCACAUUUGAAGGACGCACUAUGUAUCUCCUCAAGGUUGGCAAAGCUAGACCACAUAAGCCUGCCAUUUUCAUGGACUGUGGUUUCCAUGCCAGAGAGUGGAUUUCCCCUGCAUUCUGCCAAUGGUUUGUGAGAGAGGCUAUUCGCACCUAUGGACAUGAGACCCACAUGACAGAACUUCUCAACAUGUUAGACUUUUAUGUCUUGCCUGUGGUCAAUAUUGAUGGCUAUAUCUACACCUGGACCAAGAACCGAAUGUGGAGAAAGACUCGCUCCACCCAGAUUGGAACCACCUGCAUUGGCACAGACCCCAACAGAAAUUUUGAUGCUGGUUGGUGCAAAGUCGGAGCCUCUCGAAAGCCCUGUGAUGACACUUACUGUGGACCCGCUGCAGAGUCCGAAAGAGAGACCAAGGCCCUGGCUAAUUUCAUCCGCAGCAACCUCUCUUCCAUCAAAGCAUAUGUGACAAUCCACUCAUACUCCCAAAUGAUGCUCUAUCCUUACUCCUAUGAUUAUAAACUCACAGAGAACAAUGCUGAGUUGAAUGCCCUGGCUAAAGCUACCGUAAAAGAACUUGCCACACUGUAUGGCACCAAGUACACAUAUGGCCCAGGAGCUACAACAAUCUAAGUCACAUCUUGCCUCUAUCCUGGCACCUCCAGAGUACAGCCCGUGGCCUGCUGCCCAGUGAGGGCUGUACAACUGUUGACGGAAUAAACAGAUCAAAGAAUGAAUUAAUGAAUUAAUCAAUGGAUGAAUGAACAAAUGAGCUAAUGACUGAAUAAAGAUAAAAUCCACGUGGCAGUAACAUCAUAACUGUUAUUGAAUGAAUAGCUGAAUAAAUGCCCAACCUAUGCCAGGCCAUAUGCUAGGCCCUGAGGAAACCAAUAUAAAGGCACAGCACUGCCCUCAAGAUGCUCCAAUUUCAUCAUUCAGCCCUGUUUCCUCGGGAUUUGGAGUUCUCGCCUAUCACCAGUCAUCAAGAAGCUUACCUUAUUUUCCCAGGACACAAAUACUCUUUUUCCAGAAACUAUAUAUAUUUUGUCAACAAAUUACAUAUGUUAUAGUCUACUAUAGCAUACAAGCACAGUGGGAAGUUUAUAUUAUAUUAUAAAUUACAUACUUCCUGGAGUAUGAAACAUGUCAUUCCCACUAUAAUCAAGCGUAAAGAUCCUGCUGCUGGGGGCUCUGAUGACUGGGCUUAUGACCA